rnacentral:lncRNA from 1 species
CUUGCGCUCCCCACCACUAAUUAGCGAUCAGCUGCUCGCAACAAGCAAAGAAGAUUGCGAAAAUGGGAAAAAUUGUUUUUGCCUUCCCAAAGAAGAGAGCGCGAAAAAACCCGUGUCCUCCUCGCCUCUCCUCCCCUCCUCUGUGUAUGGAGCGGCGCCCAGCGACUGGAUUCCGCGCCGGGAGACUCACCCUGAACGCGUAUGUCGGUCUGGCUCGGUACGUACCCCUUCCUGUCGGGCACCUUCUCACUUUUACCUUUUUCCAGGCAGUUUCACGCACGGAAAAUGAAUUAGACGCUGGAGGAAAAACAAGCGCGUCCGAUCGCUUUCACUCUUCCUUCUCUGUCGUGUGUGUGUGAGUGUGUGUGUAUGUGUGUGUGGGUGUUUUGAGUUUGAGUUUGAGAUUCGUUUGCUUGUUUUUCCCCGCUUGGCUCCACUUGGACACACGCAAAUCAGAUUCACAAAUCCAUAGAAAACUUUUUUGUAGUAAAAGAACAAAAAAAGUUGCCUACCUUUGGGUGCUUUUUUCAGCAUCCACAAAAUGGCUUAAGAAUAGGAUUUAAUGGCGGCAAGAAAGCAAUGUAAAAAGGGUUUGGGCACGAUUGCCUGAACAAUGAAAAUUUGGCCAACACAAAAAGUUGAUUUAAUUAAACACGAAACACCCUUAAGAGAAUGGAAAUGGUAUUAUUUUUGUUUUGUAAUUUAUGCACAGUCCAACUGGGAUUCAAGAACUGAAAAAGGUGCCUGAAAAUGACGUGGAAUAGAUCUGGAAUGGGAGAGAUACCCAUACCAAAAUAAAGUACGAAAUAAUUUAAGCAAAUAUUUACAACAAAAACAAAUGACAGAAGUGCAGAUAAUUUAAUCUUGGAAAUUAGUUGAUAAACACCCAAAUUAUCAAGUAAAAUACACUCG